GAUGAACGCUAGCUACAGGCUUAACACAUGCAAGUCGAGGGGUAACGAGAGGAAAGCUUGCUUUCCUUGUCGACGACCGGCGCACGGGUGAGUAACGCGUAUCCAACCUGCCCCCAACUAGGGAAUAACCUUGCGAAAGUAAGACUAAUACCCUAUAAUUUCCUCAGAUGCCAUCUGACGAGGAAUAAAGAUUUAUCGGUUGUGGAUGGGGAUGAGUCUGAUUAGCUUGUUGUGCGGGGUAACGGCCCACCAAGGCAACGAUCAGUAGGGGUUCGGGAAGGAAGGGCCCGCACAUUGAAACUGAGACAGGGUCAAACCUCCUACGGGAGGGAGCAGUGAGGAAUAUUGGUCAAUGGUCGGAAGCCGGAACAACCAAGUUAGCGAGCAGGAUGACUGCCCUAGGGGUUGUAAACUGCUUUUAUACAGGAAUAAAGUUAGCCACGUGUGGUUAUUUGUAGGUACGGUAUAAAUAAGGACCGGCUAAUUCCGUGCCAGCGGCCGCGGAAA
rnacentral:rRNA from 1 species